UUGCCUUGUCUUAGUGCGCCCUCCGUGUAUUGGGCCAAAAAAGGCCCACAGUCCAAGUCCAAACCUGCUUUAAUUGCAUCUGCAGCUGCAUCUUCUGGGGUUGAGGUGUAAUGUUGGGUGUUGUAGAAAACCCCAACCGAGUCGCAAUCUGAGACAAUGUACCCAUCAAGUCCCCAUUGGCCGCGGAUGGUGUCGCGGAGGAGGCGGGG
rnacentral:misc_RNA from 1 species